rnacentral:rRNA from 1 species
AAACCGUGUACGUACAAGCAGUGGGAGCACAGAGCAAUCUGUGUGACUGCGUACCUUUUGUAUAAUGGGUCAGCGACUUAUAUUCUGUAGCAAGGUUAACCGAAUAGGGGAGCCGAAGGGAAACCGAGUCUUAACUGGGCGUUAAGUUGCAGGGUAUAGACCCGAAACCCGGUGAUCUAGCCAUGGGCAGGUUGAAGGUUGGGUAACACUAACUGGAGGACCGAACCGACUAAUGUUGAAAAAUUAGCGGAUGACUUGUGGCUGGGGGUGAAAGGCCAAUCAAACCGGGAGAUAGCUGGUUCUCCCCGAAAGCUAUUUAGGUAGCGCCUCGUGAAUUCAUCUCCGGGGGUAGAGCACUGUUUCGGCAAGGGGGUCAUCCCGACUUACCAACCCGAUGCAAACUGCGAAUACCGGAGAAUGUUAUCACGGGAGACACACGGCGGGUGCUAACGUCCGUCGUGAAGAGGGAAACAACCCAGACCGCCAGCUAAGGUCCCAAAGUCAUGGUUAAGUGGGAAACGAUGUGGGAAGGCCCAGACAGCCAGGAUGUUGGCUUAGAAGCAGCCAUCAUUUAAAGAAAGCGUAAUAGCUCACUGGUCGAGUCGGCCUGCGCGGAAGAUGUAACGGGGCUAAACCAUGCACCGAAGCUGCGGCAGCGACGCUGAUGCGUUGUUGGGUAGGGGAGCGUUCUGUAAGCCUGUGAAGGUGUGCUGUGAGGCAUGCUGGAGGUAUCAGAAGUGCGAAUGCUGACAUAAGUAACGAUAAAGCGGGUGAAAAGCCCGCUCGCCGGAAGACCAAGGGUUCCUGUCCAACGUUAAUCGGGGCAGGGUGAGUCGACCCCUAAGGCGAGGCCGAAAGGCGUAGUCGAUGGGAAACAGGUUAAUAUUCCUGUACUUGGUGUUACUGCGAAGGGGGGACGGAGAAGGCUAUGUUGGCCGGGCGACGGUUGUCCCGGUUUAAGCGUGUAGGCUGGUUUUCCAGGCAAAUCCGGAAAACUAAGGCUGAGGCGUGAUGACGAGGCACUACGGUGCUGAAGCAACAAAUGCCCUGCUUCCAGGAAAAGCCUCUAAGCAUCAGGUAACAUCAAAUCGUACCCCAAACCGACACAGGUGGUCAGGUAGAGAAUACCAAGGCGCUUGAGAGAACUCGGGUGAAGGAACUAGGCAAAAUGGUGCCGUAACUUCGGGAGAAGGCACGCUGAUAUGUAGGUGAAGUCCCUCGCGGAUGGAGCUGAAAUCAGUCGAAGAUACCAGCUGGCUGCAACUGUUUAUUAAAAACACAGCACUGUGCAAACACGAAAGUGGACGUAUACGGUGUGACGCCUGCCCGGUGCCGGAAGGUUAAUUGAUGGGGUCAGCGCAAGCGAAGCUCUUGAUCGAAGCCCCGGUAAACGGCGGCCGUAACUAUAACGGUCCUAAGGUAGCGAAAUUCCUUGUCGGGUAAGUUCCGACCUGCACGAAUGGCGUAAUGAUGGCCAGGCUGUCUCCACCCGAGACUCAGUGAAAUUGAACUCGCUGUGAAGAUGCAGUGUACCCGCGGCAAGACGGAAAGACCCCGUGAACCUUUACUAUAGCUUGACACUGAACAUUGAGCCUUGAUGUGUAGGAUAGGUGGGAGGCUUUGAAGUGUGGACGCCAGUCUGCAUGGAGCCGACCUUGAAAUACCACCCUUUAAUGUUUGAUGUUCUAACGUUGACCCGUAAUCCGGGUUGCGGACAGUGUCUGGUGGGUAGUUUGACUGGGGCGGUCUCCUCCUAAAGAGUAACGGAGGAGCACGAAGGUUGGCUAAUCCUGGUCGGACAUCAGGAGGUUAGUGCAAUGGCAUAAGCCAGCUUGACUGCGAGCGUGACGGCGCGAGCAGGUGCGAAAGCAGGUCAUAGUGAUCCGGUGGUUCUGAAUGGAAGGGCCAUCGCUCAACGGAUAAAAGGUACUCCGGGGAUAACAGGCUGAUACCGCCCAAGAGUUCAUAUCGACGGCGGUGUUUGGCACCUCGAUGUCGGCUCAUCACAUCCUGGGGCUGAAGUAGGUCCCAAGGGUAUGGCUGUUCGCCAUUUAAAGUGGUACGCGAGCUGGGUUUAGAACGUCGUGAGACAGUUCGGUCCCUAUCUGCCGUGGGCGCUGGAGAACUGAGGGGGGCUGCUCCUAGUACGAGAGGACCGGAGUGGACGCAUCACUGGUGUUCGGGUUGUCAUGCCAAUGGCACUGCCCGGUAGCUAAAUGCGGAAGAGAUAAGUGCUGAAAGCAUCUAAGCACGAAACUUGCCCCGAGAUGAGUUCUCCCUGACUCCUUGAGAGUCCUGAAGGAACGUUGAAG